GGCUCAAAUUUGAAAUCUGGCCCCUCGGGGGUCCGAGUUGUGAUUUGCAGAGGAUGCUUCGGCGUCGGUCCCGGGCCAAGUCCCCUGGAACGGGGCGCCCCAGAGGGUGAGAGCCCCGUAUUCGCCCGGGCUUCCGUCGCCGUGUGAAGCUCCUUCGACGAGUCGAGUUGUUUGGGAAUGCAGCUCCAAGCGGGAGGUAAAUUCCUUCUAAGGCUAAAUACCGGCCAGAGACCGAUAGCGCACAAGUAGAGUGAUCGAAAGAUGAAAAGCACUUUGGAAAGAGAGUUAAAAAGCACGUGAAAUUGUUGAAAGGGAAGCUCUUGCCGCCAGACCUGCCGCGGUUGCUCAGCCGUCCCCCCGGGGCGGUGCGCUCUUCCGCCGGCAGGCCAGCGUCGGUUCGGGCGGUCGGACAAAGGCCCUGGGAAUGUGGCAUCCUUCGGGGUGUGUUAUAGCCUGGGGCGCAAUGCGGCCAGCCCGGUCCGAGGGACGCGUUCGCGAGGACGCUGGCGUAAUGGCUGCAAGCGACCCGUCUUGAAACACGGACCAAGGAGUCUAACAUCUGUGCGAGUGUUCGGGCGUCAAACCCGCGCGCGCAAUGAAAGUGAACGGAGGUGGGAACCCCCCCGAGGGGCGCACCAUCGACCGAUCCUGAUGUCCUCGGAUGGAUUUGAGUAAGAGCACGGCUGUUGGGACCCGAAAGAUGGUGAACUAUUCCCGGAUAGGGUGAAGCCAGAGGAAACUCUGGUGGAGGCUCGCAGCGGUUCUGACGUGCAAAUCGAUCGUCAAAUCUAGGAAUAGGGGCGAAAGACUAAUCGAACC
rnacentral:rRNA from 1 species